UAGAAGGAAAAAAAGUAUAACUCGCUUAUUCUUUUUUCUUUUUCAUAGAUUUUGAAUCUUGUUUUCUGUCAAAACGUUCCUUACAAGUCACUUUUUUCAUAUAUAUACA
rnacentral:ribozyme from 1 species